AUCUUGACUUUGGGAGCCCGUGAAAACUAGAAUAAAAAUGCCUUUUUUGUCACUUUCUUUGGUUUGCUACUAUCAGAGGAGACCAAAUUGCAAGACUGUGUUACUCCGAGUCUUUAGCUGCAAUAGUCUUAUAACGUGUUUUGAGAUCCUAGGAAGACAAUGUUUAUGUACAUGUAAAAUACGAAUAACAAACUGGUCUUUGGUGUAUCAGGGAUCCUUACCUUUUUUCCUGAAACUCCUCUGGACUAUCUAAAUGACAGUCUGGUGACAUUUAUAAUCCCCUUUUCUAAGUAAAUAUAUUUUAGCUGCAUAGGUUAAAACACAUAGGAUUUAAAAGACACCAACAGUACUAAAAUAUAAUUUUCUCUGUGAACAGAUUAGCUUCUCUUGGGAUGCAAAAAGGUCUUUAAAAAUAACAUUUGUUGAGUUUUUAUUAUUAAAAAUAUCCAUGUUCAGUUUUUAGUAAAGACAUAAAAUUUGGAAAUUCUAAUUAAAGUAUUAAAAAUUAAAAAUAAGCUACAGCUUCAAUUAAAAGAACUUUUUGAACAUCGAUUUAUAUCUGAGAGGUGGUUACAUUAUGAAAGAUAAUUGCUUGCUCGUUUUAAACACAAAACAUAGUAAAAGUACAGAUGAAAAGUGAGCAUAAUCUUUAAGAAUCUUCCAAUCAAUACUUAAUCCUGGAGUUUUCCAGUUAAAUGGGAUACAGAAGUUCAUCUAAUCCUGGAGUAUGGAAUCUGGCCUGAAGAUCAGAUUCACCUGGGAAAUUUUUUUUUUUUUUUAAAUUUAGAUUCUCAGGCUCUAUCCUAGGCCUCCCAGCAGAGAAUCUCCAGAAACAGGGCCAAGGAAACUACUUUUAAAUGCUGCUUAGGGACAUCUGAUUAUCAGCAAGAAUGGGAAGCACUGAUAACACAACAGUCUCCACCCCACCAAUGCAGCCUGCUCUCUAAUCAGAUCUUUAAAUGCUUCUUCUAAAGGAUUUUUGGUUUGGAGAUUCAGUUCUCAUACCCCAGUACAGACUUAAACUGGUAGCAUCAUGGUCUGUGACAGUGACCAAAAAACAGGUUAACACUUCAGGUUCUAAAAUCAUGCUUUCUACUGAGUUAUGUCCUCAUGGACAGCUCCCUCCUACCCCCUGUGCUCAAGUGCACAGCACAGGGGUGGGCUGGCCCUGGCACAGCACUUGCUGGCCAGGGUGAGAGUGACAUCUGAGGGGCGACCGGCGUGGGGGGCUGAUACUUGGAGUGCCUCUCUGGAUCUGGAUUGUAGGCUUUUUCAUCCUCUUGAAGUCUACAUGCUGCGUUUUAUUCAUUAGCACCUACGAGGGAUUAAUUGCCAUCAGGCAUGUAGGUGGAAUUCCUGGCAGGGAGCAAGAAAUGGAAUAGGUUUGAUGACAACCAAUGAUCUGCCAAAGCCCUGUCAGAAGGAGAACAGAGUCUUGCUGUCACUCAUCCACCCCUUUAAAUUCAAAUGAAGAUGCUUCUGGGUGGGGAGGGGGAGGGGGUUGGCACCAGUCCAACUUUGCAUUGAAGAUACUGUACAUUUUUACUGUAUAUGCGAACGUCCCUGCUCCUGGUGAGGACUCAUUGAUUUUUUAGAGGGUCACUCAUCAUUUCUCGUUACACUUCCAAGGCUUCUCCUUCCACCUAGGGCACUCAAGAGAUGAAGUGUCUGGCUCCCAAAAUAUCAGACAUCAAACAUCUAUGGAGAUUAUUUUUGCAGACGCUUCAUAUAUAUUAAGGCCAGCACCGUUCUA
ensembl:lncRNA